CCCUUGCCCUGACAUGGAGAUUCAUGUCCAAAAUAGGACAGAGAUAUAGGCUCUGCUUGCGAUAUGGACAUAGCCUUAAUUUGAAGUAGGGGUUUGGGUUCAAGCAAGGUAAUCAAGGUCAGUUUGAGGUGACACCUAGCAGUAAGCUGGGGCAGGACCUCAGGUUCAGAAUGGGAGGAGAUUCAAGGGUAGGAACCAGCAUUUGCCAAGAUAGAAAUCAGAGCUCAACCUGAGUUGAUCCAAACCUGAGUUAUACCACUAGGACCUUCAGGACAUCAGUGGUCACUGAGCGUCCCAUGGUCAAACCCCCAGACCUGCAAAGAAGUGGCUAAGCUCUGUCUCAUGACCGUGGGGUGUUAGCAAGAAGCGUUAAGCAACACCUAUUUUAUCAGGGUUGGCCUCCUGCCUAGUAUCAAAAUAGCUGCCUUCUGUGUCUCGGGCUGACCUGGGGAGUGGCCAGCAGUGAACUUGGUCUCCACUGAGGGGUGAGCUCGGAAGAGGUGACGGGGCAGGGUCUGCUUACCUGAGAUAGGAGAUGACGCCCAUAGCCCUGCAAGAACGAAAACACCGCAUUUGUGAGUCACACCAGGCCUGCUCCACAGGCAAGGGGUAUGCACGCGGGGGCUAGAAGAGGAGGCAGAGGCUCAGAGGCUCAUCCGCUGCCAGACAGACAGACACACGAAGGACAGGGAGGGUCCAGAUCAACAGCCCUCCUGGUGGACCAUCCACUCACCAGAUGUCUGAGCCCUCGCUCACAGGAUUCUGCUCAAUGAUCUCUGGGGACACGAAUUCGGGUGAGCCAUACUUGCUAUACUGCGGCUCUGAAGGGGUGAUCUUUUGGGCAAAGCCAAAGUCACAGAUCUUGAUGUCUUCCCGAGCUGGGUGCACCAUCAGGAUGUUGGGGGGCUGUCAGACAGGGUUGGGAAGUUGCUCAAGGCUACACUUCAUGAGAAAGGUAACUCCUACCCUCUGGGCCUAGGAGAGCACUGAAGAGUCCUUGAGGCUAGUAAAGGGCAGUGGGGAGUCCCCAGGACCAAGUGGCCAUCACAUCUACUCAUGAGAGCCAAACCCUACCCAAGGGCUGGGAGCAGGGAAUUCCCUGUCCUAGGAAGAACCCAAGGACGGGCUGGCUCCCAGCUGCGCCCACCCUGAGUUCUGGAAGUGCCGUGAAUGCAAUACCUUUAUGUCCAGGUGGAGGAUACCAUGGCUGUGCAAAUAGUGCAGGCCUUCCACCAGCUGCUGGAUGUAGACUUUGACCUGUGGUAAAGGCUGGGUUCAGUUUGGAACCAGUCCCCAAGAGGCUGGCUCAGGAACCUCCUGAAGGCCUGAUGCGGGUGAGGAGCCAGCCUCAGUUACCUCCUGAAGGCCUGAUGCAGGCAAGGAGAAGGUAGAGAUUACCUCGGCUUCAGUCACGACACCCUUCUUGAAGAGUCGAUCCAGCAGCUCCUCAGACGAGCACCUGGGUUUAGUCAAGGAAAAGCUGCACCUGAUUGGAACCAUCUGAUUCCCCGGCCCGUGCUCACAGAAAGAGCCCACUCCACGCAGCCCUUCACCGGGAUCCUGAGACAGAGCUGCAGGAGUGAUAGAGCAGCCAGGAUGUGAAGAGCCACCAUGGGUGUGACAGAGGCCAAGAGGAGCUGGAAGGGGAGCCUCCUCUCCAAUACCCAAGAGGUCACCUCAAGACUGUGGCGGCCCCCAUCUGUGACCCACAGAAAGGAAAGAUCUCAUGUCCAAAACCCCAACCAUGCCACUUCUUGUUGUAGGCUCAGGAGCUGCUGUCACACACAGUCACAGCAGCAGGGACAGGAUGCUCAGAUGUGGGGCUAGUACUUGUCAUGAUAGCACCCAGGUCCAGGGACCCCCCUCCCCCAGCAGCUCCAGCCCCAGUCUGGGACCUGAUGCCUUUUGAACUCUCUCAGGGGGGUUCAGGUGCAGGAUACAGUUCCAAGAUAAGGAUGAGAGUCUUCCGGGUCUCAAAUUGAUCCAGGAGCCCAGUGACCAGUGGGUGGCCGAGUGUAGCCAAGAUGUCUCGUUCCUGGUAUGCCUGGGCCCGAGUUUUGCUCCGCAGGGGGAUGAACUUGGCGGCACAGGACAUCUUGUUUCCUUUGUGCUGAACCCUUUUCACGAACCCAAACACACCCCUGGGGGUGAAGAAGGAGAGAGGGGACCCAUGGUAGGUACCAUGCUGAGAGUGUCCUGGGAAGGACUGGAAAACUGUGCAGCAGGUGAAGAAGCGAUACCUCCCAAUCUCUUCUUGAACCUCAUAGAAGGAAUGCAGUUUUCUCCGAUAGACUUGCUUUUCGGCAUCUAGCUUGUCCCCUGCAGUUAAAGCACAGGACAUGAACAGUAUAGGCAGCCAUGAAUUGCCCCCCCCACCGCCCACUGCUCACCCAAUGCAAUGACAAGGGCCGUCCCUGUAGCCUGCCCUGGGAAGGCCUUAACAGAGCCAGCCAACUCACCCCCGUGGACCAGCAGCUCUGCCUUGCAGAGCACCUGUCCACCUGCAUUAUUGGCAACACAUGUGUAGACACCGGCAUCGUGUGGAGCCACAUCAGUCAACACCAAGGAAUAUGUCGUUCCAUCUUGCCGCUGGCUCAGCCGGGCACUGCUCGUCAGCUGGGUGCUGUCCUGGACAGACAGGAGAUAGCCUGGGCUCCCAUCAGCCUAUCCUGGGAUAUGCCAGCACCUGGACUCCCACACCCUUCCCAGAGCAGUACUUCCAAGACCUGCUGCGUGCCCAGACCCAGGAGCAAGCCAGAAGUGGGAUGGGAAGAGAGUUCUGGACCCUCCAAGGGGACACAGGAAGAAGAGAUGGGGAAACCUGGACUAAAGCAUGCCAUGUGACUUAAUCGGGCUCUCAUAAAAUGGCCCCUAAGUACCCAGCACAGGCCCUUGUGUGUGCCAGGCUGUGAGACCUCUGGAAGUUCACCUGGUAGAAAAGAAGAAGCUUGGUAAGCUGAAUCCUGGCUGGCGUGGGGAAGACAUCCUUCAACAAGCAUGGGUUCCCCGUGUGGCCAGUGUGGGGUAGAUUGCAGAAUCAAGAGCAGCUCCAGGGCCAGGAUGAAAACCCAGAGUGAGAAGCAGGCAGUCCUGACCUCCACAACCUAGUCCUAUACGCUGGCUGUCUUGCUGAAGCCAGAUAUGAGGCCUCCCCAGUCCCCCACCAGGGCCUGGUCUCCCAGGCCACCAGCCAGACUAGCAUCGGGAUGUAGUUCUGCCCUCUAGGGCCUGUACAUCCAGCCAGGCUGAAGUUACGGUGACAUGGCAGCAGUGGACAGGUGGCACAUCUGGGGAAACUGAAACUCCAGAUCGAAGUGAGCACUUCUGGGUCCUUGUACAUGCACAAGUGAACUGGGUGGGCCCAGUGCACAGAUUGGGAAACUGAGGUCAAGUUAAGGAUGAGCCAUGACCAGGCAAAGUACAUGAUGACACAUAAAGCCAUAAAGAUACCAAGGUGCCCCAGAGCUCUGCAAGUUUGUAACCAUGGAAUGGGCAAUCAAGAUGACCCUUUGGAUCAUAUGGCCAGGGAUGGGGUGGGGUUAGCAAAGGAGAGGAGGAAUCUUUGCAGUCAGCUCCCUCUGGACCUUACCAGGUGUGCCUGAAGCUGCGCCUGGGAUCUGGGACGCAGCCUCUUGAAAUGCAGGUGGCUCACUUUGUCUGGUAUUCGGGAGAUCCCCUGAGGAGGGGCCGAGGGCUUCUGAGCCCAGCAGCCUCCAAAGGACAGAAGCAGCUUGUUGGUCAACUCCGUCCUGGGUGGAGUGGGCAGAGCCCUCCACGGAGGUGUCUGUGGACAGGAGGGUAGGAACACGAAGUAAGUCUGGACUGCACAGGUUCUGCGUGCCCACCCCGGUUCUCAGAGACCGCCCUCCUUCUUCCACCUCACGUGCUGCUGCCGCUGCUGCUGCUGUUGUCCCUGGCUUGGGGAGCCACCUGGAGCGGGAGGUUCAGGAGGAUAGGGCACACUGAGGAGCUCUGAGCCCAGGGCCGCUGCCUACAGGGCCACUGCGGCCCCCUUCCCCCAGAUCCAUGUACACCCAGGGCCACCCUCCUCGAAGCUACAGAGAAAGCACAUCUUCAGAAAGCCACCAUCUUCAGUAUGUCUCCAGUCCCACGCUCCUUCCAUCCAGCCCUGGCUCCUCUCAGGACUGGCUCUAGACCCCAAAUCUUAGACAGACUGGUGCAAAGUAAGGGCCAGGGGAACCAUAGGAUCAGGUGUUCAGGCACCGUGACCUUACUACACCUCCCAGGGCAGUUUAUGACUCACCCCAUGUGACUGACAGCUUUCUACCCCACACCUAAAUGCCCCAAACCCAGUCCAGGCCUGCGUCCUUACCCAAGUCCUAGUAACGCACCCCUGGCACACCUCUCCUGUACUUUGCCCCUGUGCCUCCUUUCAGACCUGUAUACCUAUGUGGGGGCCCAACACAUGCCCCAGGACUGCUGAUCCUUCCUUUGCCAAUAAACCCCCUCCCUGCCCAGAUCCUCCUCAGUGCUUGGGGAUGAGGCAUCUUUGACAUCCCCAGACAAAACCUACACAGGCUUUUCUCAAGCCCAACAGGGCAGAAGCACCCUUAGAACAGGCCUCAGGGCUAGAGGAUUCCUGGGGCUCCACCCCCUCACAGACAAGUGAGUCGUCAUCUCUUCAGAUGGUGAGAUUGACCCCUAUACACCAAGAACUUAGGACACAAUGGUCGUUCACUCUCAUGCUGAUGCCCCAUUCGUCCUACAAUGGCCUCAGCUAUCCAGGGUUUAGGAAGGCCUGCUCAGUCCCAGCAGGCCUAAAGUGACUGUGAUGGCUGCCCUGCUUAAACUGUGAGUCCCAAGAACCAGCUCUAUAGACGGUCAAGGAUCAGUCCACAUCCUGUCCCUAAUCUACCUGUUAAAAUUUGUAUAUUCUCUGCCCAUGGAGUGGCACUAUUAGAAGGUGUGGCCUUGUUGGAGUAGGUGUGCCACUGUGGGUAUGGGCUUU